AGGUGUGGGAGGUGUCGACUCCUUCCGUGCCGAAGCUAACGCAUUAAGUGCCCCGCCUGGGGAGUACGGCCGCAAGGCUAAAACUCAAAGGAAUUGACGGGGGCCCGCACAAGCAGCGGAGCAUGUGGUUUAAUUGGAUGCAACGCCAAGAACCUUACCAAGGCUUGACAUGGUCGGGAAAACCGGAGAAAUUCGGUCCUCCUUCGGGACUCGAUCACAGGUGGUGCAUGGCUGUCGU
rnacentral:rRNA from 1 species